AUGAGGGUGACUGGUCCUGCUGAUGAGUGGAGCUUCAGAGACAGGAUGCUUUCACUCCCCACAGUAGGUGGAACAAUGUAUCUCAGCAGAGUAUUUCUGACUGCAAAGCCAACACCAUAUUCCCUGGUCUCAUUUGAUGGUUUUCCCUGCCAGAAGAAUGAGAAGUUUUUUUCUUUUACAGAUCCCAUGUCUGGCAAUCUCAUCUCUUGCAGGGCAACAAUGUCCAUCUGCAGUCUACUCAGUUCCAUGUCGAUGACAGCUGUCUGCAGGUCGUCAGGGGUCAUUGUCCGAACAUUCCAGAUUUUGUUGUUUAGUCGCGUCCGACUCUUCGUGAUCCCAUGGACCACAGCGCAACAGGCCCUCCUGUCUUCCACUGCCUCCCGGAGUUGGGUCAGAUUCAUGUUGGUAGCUUCAAUGACACCAUCCAACCCUCUCAUCCUCUGCCGUCCCCUUCUCCUCUUGCCUUCACACCUUCCCAACAUCAAGGGCUUUUCCAGGGAGUCUUCUCAUGAGAUGGCCAAAGUAUUGGAGCCUCACCUUCAGGAUCUGUCCUUCCAAGGCUGUGCAAAGCUUCCCUCUUCCCUGUGAGAACCUCCCAGCAGGAGCCCUUCUUGAGGAAGUGACCGCACCCCUUCCUCCUCCUUGGGUCUCCGGCUUUCCCUUCCCUUCCUUUCAAAGGCAGCUGAGGCUCCGCGCCCGGCCAGGGGAGACCCUGCCUUGGUCGUCGCAGGAAGAAGCCGAAGAGAUACAGGAAAAAGGUUAGCAGGUGUUCUUCUGGAACAGCAUCCAUCCUGCAAAAACCAUUAUCUGAAUUUGGAAGAGGUCAUCAAGGAUCACUUUCCCUCUCAAAGGGGGAGAAAGGGCAUCCUUUGGGAUAUUAAUCCCCUUAAUUCUGCAGCAGAAACUCAUGGUGGAGAAUUAAGAGAAGGUGUUUCUCUCUUAAAGAUGUUCCUGAGAUGUCAUGCGGAAGGAUAACGGAUGCUCCCCAAAUCAAUCAAUCAGCUGGAACCUACCAAAAAGACUCCAUGGACUGAAAAAAGAUCUACUCUUGCGGAGAAGCAAGAAGAAAGCUCUCUUCCGUCUUUCCCUCUCCAACGAUCCCCACAUGCAGGAGUGAAUUCUUCACUUCACCCUCUUGGAUCCCAAAUGAGGAAAGGAGAAAUUCAGGGGAGGCCCCAUGCCUGUCUCUCGAGGGUUGGAAUCUCACUGACAGCACCUGCUCUUGGUGACCACAGGGUUGGGCCAAGCAGGACCAGGAACCAAAAGAAAAACACUCUGCACAUGUUCAGAGAGGCUCUGAUGUAGACAGUAAAACUGGGACUCACGCAACCCGGGUUCAAACCCCCACAUAGCCAGGAAACUCACAGCGUGUGCUUGCUUUCACAAACCAGAGGCCUCCAGAACUGGGUUGGUUGGGAGCUACUUAAUAGGUGACAGAAUGAAGUAGACACAACAGUCUUACAGCAUAUGGGGAUUUCAUGUCACCGUUUGGAUACUGUGAUGAGAUGUGUUUUUGAAGUUAUAAUAUGCUACAGUAAUGGGUUUUGUAGUUAUGAGUUUAGCAAUAGAGAAUCCAUUUUGAAUUAAUAAAACGGUCUGUGCUGGAAAAGUACUAGUAGCA
ensembl:lncRNA